GUCUUCGGUUGGAGAUGCCUAGAUAUCAAAGAAAGGCUAGUUGGUGGUGCGGCGAGGCGACAAGGUGAAGGCGUCGGAGGCACACAAAAGAAAAGAAAUCCACAUACUGUACAGAGCGGGAAACAACGAUUUUCGAAAUGGAAAAAUACCGCCAUUCCAUUCCUUUGUCUUCUCACAAGCUUGAUAAACCUGCAGCCACAUUAUCCUCCAAUCGCUGCUUUCAUUUCCUGAGAGCAUAAAAAGGAAAGAAAAACCAGACCCUCUCUGUAUUUCUCAAUCAUGGACGACACCGUCAGCACCAACCGCUCCUCUAAUAAGCGACCCUGCUCCACCUCUCCGUCCCUGCAGAUUCCCGCUCCCAAGAGGCGAGUUGUCCUGGGCGAACUCACCAACUCGUCGAUUCAGAACUCGGAUCGGAAGAAACCCAUGAGGAAGAGUAACAUGAUGAAGAAAGAAAUGGAGGUUCAAGAGACGGAGAUUGUUGCCAGCUCUGUCGAUCAAACCAAGUCUGAAUGCUCGUCUUCUAUAUAUCAGCAUCUUCACUCCUUGGAGAUGGAGGCGAACAAGAGGCCGUCACCCAGUUACAUGGGUAGGGUGCAAAAUGAUAUUUCACCAAACAUGCGUGAAAUUCUGGUGGAUUGGUUGGUGGAGGUUGCAGAGGAAUACCAGCUUGCUACAGACACCCUUUAUCUCACUGUAUCAUAUCUUGACAGAUACCUUUCUUCAUAUGCUGUCAGCAGGAGCAAGCUACAGCUUCUUGGUGUUUCUUGCAUGUUUGUUGCCUCAAAAUAUGAAGAGAUUUGCCCUCCACGUGUUGAAGACUUCUGCUAUGUAACAGAUAAUACUUACAUGGUGGAAGAGAUGUUGGAAAUGGAGAGGGAUGUGGUCAAAUUUUUGAACUCUGACACGGGUCCUCCUACAACAAAGAAUUUCCUCAGGCUCUUUACAAGAGCUGCCCUGGAGAACAACAAAUCUGCUGGUAUGUUCGAAUUCUUGAGUUGCUAUCUUUUGGAGCUAAGUUUGUUAGACUACAACUGUGUCCAGUUCCUACCAUCAGUUGUUGCUGCAUCAGCUAUUUUCCUUUCAAGGUUCACGAUCCAACCUAAUGUGCAUCCUUGGGUAAGAAAUAACGGAGUGGAUAGAGUGUAGUAAUCAACUGAGGUUUGGCAUUCCAAAGCCAGUAAAGAUAGGUUAUUCUAUACAGUUUAAGAAGGUAGUGCCUGUGCAUGGGCGCGCAUGUGGCCCUAACCUGGCGGUGCAUGAGGGUGCGUGAGGUAGCGUGUGCUUGACAUGUACAGGUGAGACUUACCCGAAGGAGGUACGAGGACAAACAAGGCUAGGAGGCUACAAUCCAUUAACGUAUCAGUGAGUGGAUAUUUGUUUUUAUAUAUAAUAUAUAAACUUUUAUAGUUUCCACAAGUGUUUUGAUUAAUUUUAUGCAUAUCAUGCCAUGUUUAAUUUAUUAUAUUGUUGAGAUUUACAAAUUUUCAUGGUAUGUUCAUACAUAUUAUACUUGCUCAUCACGCAUGCUUGCACCAGUGUAGUACUCGUCUAGGCCAGGGCCAGGCUUCAUGUGUAUGUUUACAUCGCACCGCACGCUCACCGUGGAUCCAUUGUAGGUGCCAGUCCUGUCGUACAGGUUGCAAUAGGCAACUCCAACUUGUAUGUGAUACGCCUAGCACCAAUCUUCACGUGAUUGUAGUACUAGAGCAUAUAUUAUGAUUACACCCAAUCUUGUUCAUUUCAGAAUCCCUCUGCAUGAACUCGUGUGUUAGCAUAGAUUGAUGAGCACCUAAUUUUACUUAUGCUGCGAUUAAGAUAUUAUGAUUGGCAUAUUUCUGGAUUUAUUGUUGAUUUACAGUUGAUUUCAUACUUAUAUGUAGUAUGAUUUUUUGGAAACUAUACAUGUUUUACGGCAAGGGGUUAGUAUGUUCAGAAAAUAAAUGUGUUUUAUAAACCUUUGUUUUUGCCCACUCACCCUUCUGUUUUUCACCCCUCCAGGACUUAGAUAGCUGAACUCGUUGUGGGAUACGAGGAAUUUCCGACAUAUUCUGAUAUUUCCAUAGAUAAAUUUAGGGGCUUUUUCCCGGUUGUGUAUUAAGUACUUUAAUUAGUUUUGACUGCACUACUUUUGUUGUACUAUCAUCGAUGCUCUGAACAUUUGUGUUUUAUGGGUUCUUCCCACUACUGCGCACUUGCUACUUUAAAUUAAAUAAAUGCUAGCUUUGGUUUUAAA